GAUGAACGCUGGCGGCGUGCCUAAUACAUGCAAGUCGAGCGAACGGACGAGAAGCUUGCUUCUCUGAUGUUAGCGGCGGACGGGUGAGUAACACGUGGAUAACCUACCUAUAAGACUGGGAUAACUUCGGGAAACCGGAGCUAAUACCGGAUAAUAUUUUGAACCGCAUGGUUCAAAAGUGAAAGACGGCCUUGCUGUCACUUAUAGAUGGAUCCGCGCUGCAUUAGCUAGUUGGUAAGGUAACGGCCUACCAAGGCAACGAUGCAUAGCCGACCUGAGAGGGUGAUCGGCCACACUGGAACUGAGACACGGUCCAGACUCCUACGGGAGGCAGCAGUAGGGAAUCUUCCGCAAUGGGCGAAAGCCUGACGGAGCAACGCCGCGUGAGUGAUGAAGGUCUUCGGAUCGUAAAACUCUGUUAUUAGGGAAGAACAUAUGUGUAAGUAACUGUGCACAUCUUGACGGUACCUAAUCAGAAAGCCACGGCUAACUACGUG
rnacentral:rRNA from 1 species